rnacentral:lncRNA from 1 species
GUUGGCUUAAUCCUUUCUUGAUCCUCGUAUUUGUGUGAAAAUCUCAGUUCGGUCCUCAAGUUUUGAACUAUCUCAAUUGGGUCAUAAUUUUUGCAAAAAUGCACACAUUUUACCCCAAUCGUUAACUGAUCUCAAAUGACAUUAAGUUUAGCUGACGUGGUAGCCAGAGGACAUGCUGACGUGUAUUAUUUAAUUAUAUGAAUUAUUUUUUAAAAUAAGCAGUGUUUCAC